ensembl:misc_RNA 7SK 7SK RNA
GGAUGUCUGGCUGAUGUGGCUGUGACAUCUGUCACCCCACUGAUCAUUAGCUGAUAUGGCUGGCUAGGCAGGUAUCCCCUUGCUCCCUCCAUGAGUGAUCCUCCCCGCUGAAGUGAUCCAUGAGUGUUCCUCCCUCCUGAAGCUGCAGAGUGACCUUUCUCAAACAGAGACCGACUGGUCUUUGGUUGAGGGAAUAUGAGUAGCUGUGCUCCCCAGAUAGAACCUACAAACAAGCUCUCAAGAACACAAUGAAAUACUACGUCAGGCUUACUGAGAUGGUUAAAAAUCUAAAUGACAUACAAUAAAAAGUUUU